rnacentral:lncRNA from 1 species
GGAGGGAGGAGGACGACGUCCCUCCCGAAGAGAAGAGGCUGCGGCUGUUGCUGGAGGGGGAAGCGCACAGCCCGAGGACUGCGAGGACGGGGAGGACGCGCCGCGGCCGGGCAGGGAGGAGACCGGCACCCAGACAGGUGGCGAUGGCAGAGGAGUGCAGGCAGAGCCCCCGGAUCCAUGGCCAGCCCUUCCGGCAGAUCUGAAGCCACUGGCAAGCCCCGAGGCAGGGAUGGCCGGCCCAGGAGGGAGGAGGACGACGUCCCUCCCGAAGAGAAGAGGCUGCGGCUGUUGCUGGAGGGGGAAGCGCACAGCCCGAGGACUGCGAGGACGGGGAGGACGCGCCGCGGCCAGGCAGAAAGGAGACCGGGACCCAGACAGGUGGCGACGGCAGAUCUACAGGUAUAUCCAGCAGCUCCAGAGAGACAGCGACCAGCGAGAAGGGGCCAUGAUGAUGAUGGUGGUUUUGUCCAAACGAAAAGGGAGAUAUGUAGGGAAAAGAAAGAGAGAUCAGACUGUUACUGUGUCUACAUAGAAAGUGAAGACAUAAGAGACUCCAUUUUGAAAAAGACCUGUACUUUAAACAAUUGCUUUGCUGAGAUGUUGUUAAUCUGUAGCUUUGCUGCAGCCACUUUGCCCCAACCACUUCGACCCAACCUGGAGCUCACAAAAACAUGUGUUGUAUGAAAUCAAGGUUUAAGGGAUGUAGGGCUGUGCAGGACGUGCGUUGUUAACAAAAUGUUUGCAAGCAGUUUAUUUAGUAAAAGUCAUCGCCAUUCUCUAGUCUCAAUAAACCCGGGGCACAGUGCACUGUGGAAAGCCACAGGGACCUCUGCCCUUGAAAGCUGGGUAUUGUCCAAGGUUUCUCCCAAUGUGAUAGUCUGAAAUAGGGCCUCGUGGGAUGAGAAAGACCUGACCAUCCUCCAGCCCAACACCCAUAAAGGGUCUGUGCUGAGGUGGAUUAGUCAAAGAGGAAAGCCUCUUGCAGUUGAGAAAGACGAAGACCACUGUCUCCUGCCUGCCCCUGGGAACUGAAUGUCUCUAUAUAACACCCAAAAGUACAUUUGUUCAAUUCUGAGAUGGGAGAAACUGCCCUAUGGUGGGAGGCGAGACAUGUUUACGGCAAUGCUGCCUUGUUAUUCUUUACUCCACUGAGAUGUCUGGGUGGAGAGAAACAUAAAUCUGGCUUACGUGCAUGUCCAGUCACAGUACCUUCCCUUGAACUUCAUUAUGACAUAGAUUCUGUUGCUCACAUAUUUGUUGCUGACCUUCUCCUUAUUAUCACCCUGCCCUCCUACUACAUUCCCUUUUGCUGAAAUAAUGAAGAUAAUAAUCAAUAAAAACUGAGGGAACUCAGAGACGGGUCCCAGUGCAGGUCCUUGGUAUGCUGAGCGCCGGUUCCCUGGGCUCACUGUUGUUUCUCUAUACUUUGUCUCUGUGUCUUAUUUCUUUUCUGUCUCUCAUCCCACCUGACUAGAAAUACCCACAGGUGUGGACGGGCAGGCCACCCCUUCAGUAUGAGAUUACAGGCAUGAAUAACCCCACCUGGCCACCUAACUCAGUCUUGAGAGGCCAGAAGUGAUGCUGGAACUUUCUUCCUCUGUGGGUUAAAAAGGGAAAAUUAGGAGAACACAAGGCAUGAGAGAUGCAGCGAUGAAUACGUCUAUAUGGAGCUUCUGUCUGCAUUCAGUAGAAAAUGCAUUUCUAGGCACCAGGUUUAAGAGCUAAAACCUGGAGUCUUGUCUGUUAGCAUUCUCCUUCCCCACAAACUAGAGAGAGAAUCCA